GCAUGGGGACAGGACCCACGGGCAGUCAGAGUUUCUGCUGCUGCUGCCGCUGCCCCCGCUGGCAUGGGGACAGGGCCCAUGGGCAGGCAGAGCAGCUGCUGCUGCCCCCGCUGGCAUGGGGACAGGACCCAUGGGCAGGCAGAGCUGGUGCGUGGGGACAGGACCCACGGGCAGUCAGAGCUCCUGCUGCUGCCCCGAGUUGAGGGUUAGGGCUAAUUUUAUAAGGCAUGGGUAUGUGGGUCAUUUCUUUACAAGACAAAGGAAAGAACAUGAAAAAAAGUUAAAACGGUAUCAGUGCAGGUGGGGUCUGGUCAUUGGGUGAUCCCAUGACUUUUAGACAAGAAUCAAAUCGGAUUAAGUAAAG
rnacentral:lncRNA from 1 species